AGUUGGAUAGCUGGGUCAAAUGGUGGUCCCAUUCUAAGUUUUCUAAGAAAUCUCCAUAUUGCUUUCCAGAGUGGUUGCACUAAUUUGCAGUCUCACCAGCAAU
rnacentral:pre_miRNA from 1 species